ACAGAGGGUGCGAGCGUUAAUCGGAAUUACUGGGCGUAAAGCGUGCGUAGACGGUUAUUUAAGUCGGGUGUGAAAGCCCCGGGCUCAACCUGGGAAUUGCAUUCGAGACUGAAUAGCUAGGGUACGGUAGAGGGAAGUGGAAUUUCCGGUGUAGCGGUGAAAUGCUUAGAUAUCGUCAAGAACACCUAUUGCGAAGGCAGCUUACUAAGCUUUAACUGACACUGAGGCACGAAAGUGUGGGGAUCAAACAGGA
rnacentral:rRNA from 1 species